rnacentral:rRNA from 1 species
UACGUAGGGUGCAAGCGUUGUCCGGAAUUAUUGGGCGUAAAGAGCUCGUAGGCGGCUUGUCGCGUCGGCUGUGAAAACCUGGGGCUCAACCCCGGGCCUGCAGCCGAUACGGGCAAGCUAGAGUUCGGUAGGGGAGACUGGAAUUCCUGGUGUAGCGGUGAAAUGCGCAGAUAUCAGGAGGAACACCGGUGGCGAAGGCGGUUCUCUGGGCCUUACCUGACGCUGAGGAGCGAAAGCGUGGGGAGCGAACAGG